AGGAAGGAAGGGCACUGUCUUAAUUGAGGCUUGGCUCCGGGUGCUGUUUUAGUGUGGGGCCAAGUACCUUUGGGCAGUGUUUUGCACCUCUGAGAGUGAAAUGACUCCCGUGGAGUCGGUCCUAAUCUGAGUGCAAACAAU